AAUGGCUUUUGUGGGACUCUAUGGGACAAUGAUUGUGUCCUCCAUUAACCCUCUUUGCCUGCCACAGUGAUGGGAUAUAUUGUUUAGGUUUAUGGAUGGACGCUUCAUUGCUUUACUUCACUGUGUCUCGUGCACAAAAAUACACAGCGGUGUCUGCAGCUGUCGGGGAAUUCAGCUGAAGAUACACUUCAUUUCUGGAGGUGUCCCUGGUGACAGAAAUCCGACUACUGAAUGCUGGGUUAUAAUAGGUGGUUCCGAGACUUCCGGUCAGCGCCAGCAGCAAUGGCUGAUCUCCUCUGAACUGCGGAGGGAUUGCGACGUGAAAAGUGGGUCCUGUGCGCUACGGCGAAGCGGGGACCCUUAGAAAUCGCAGGCGCUGAAGCCUGCGAACGUGGAGACUCAGCGGGCACCUUGGAGCGCCCCCCCAACUCGCGAGGAAGCCUUUUUUUUUUAGGCUUCGGAGCGGAGCGGAGGAGAAGCGCGGUGCUGUGAGUGGACUGCUGCUUUCACGGAGCGAAGCCGUGUUGCCGUUGCUGGAGAGCGCUGACUUAUUCCUGGAACAAUUGGACUGAAACUUAAUCGUGAGUAGUGAAAUUGAACUAAAAAGAAGGAGCUUUAAUUGGACUGGAACUUCUAAAAGUGAAAGGCUGUAUGAAAUAAAUAACGUUAAAAUUGGCUACCGCGGUGGGAAGUCUAAACAGGAAGUCCGCUUCCCCGCUUUGUGAACAGAGUAAAGCAUAGAGAUUUGGAGCUAAACGUGGGAAAUUCGAUGUUUAAAAGUGUUUCUUCUGACCUGAGAACUUUGAUUGAAUCCACCCUUCGGAGGGAAAGGUGAAAGUUUUUGUUUUAUUUCUCUCGGACUGCUUAAAGACUUAAAGAGCAAUUUGACAGUGAGAAGUCCUAGCUGUCAAAUUUUGACAGUGUUUUGACAGUGUUAUACAUCGGCUGAAAUAAGGAUAUAUUGUGGCCAAUCUCGCUGGGGAAAACAACUGGAAAAGAUACUUUGUGGAUUACCCCUUUCUGUUUAUUUAGUUUCUCUUUCUCAUCACUCAAGAAGAAAAGUAACUGAUUUGGUGGUAACAGUGUCCACCUAGUGGGACUAUUUGACAGUGCAGUAAAGUAUAGUAAAGGAAUUUUCCACUGGUAAACAGGAAAAGCUCACUUGGGAAAAGAAUUUGACCUUCAUAUUGUUAUGGCAGAUGGCCAGAAAUCAGACCCGUCAGUUUUGAGAUCUGGGAAACAGUGGGGGCAUCGAAGGCAAUCAUCGGCUGGCUUGCCCGCAUCAGCAACACAAUCUAAGUCUAGUGGAAUGUCUGAGGAAAUCUUAGCUAACGCUUUGGCUAAGAUUAAUGAAUCUAUACAACAACUUAGUACGAAGGUGGACGAUAUAAAUAAGAAAGUGGAAGAAUCAAAUCAGAAAGUCGACAUUGCAAAUAAAAAAAUAGAUUUAAAUACAGAAACACUAGGCAACUUGGAGAAAAAGGUAAACAGCAACACAGAAUCUAUUCAGAGAUUACUGCAGGACUCAAAGUCCAUACAGGAAAAGACUGCAGCUGUGGAAUUUAAAUUGGGGCAAUUGGAAACUGAGAAGGUACCAGAUCUACAGAAAGAGAUUGCUGAACAUAAGCUGACGCUGUCCAUGAUUGAUCUUGAAGACAAACAAGCCAAUCUAAGAAUUAGAGCUGUUCCUGAACUUGAGAAAGGCACCUUGACAGACUUUCUGACACAAGAAUUUGUGGAAUUUUGGAAGGAUUUGAAACAAGAGGAGUUCAAGAUUGUGAGGGCCUUUAGACUGGGAAAAGGAGGAAGAAAGAUUAAAAUAAGGGACUGUUUGAUUACCUUCAGAUCUAAGGAAGAGAGGGACAAAAUUUUGGGCCUGCACUAUGAGAAACCUUUGACAAUUCUACAAUCAAAGGUAGAAAUUUUUAAAGAUAUACCGAAACAUCUUUUGGACCUAAGACAAGAUUUUGGAGAUUUGGUGGCCUUGUUGAGAAAAAAUAAGAUCCUUUUCAGGUGGGAAUUUCCUCAAGGCCUAUCUUUCAGUUUUAAGGGAAAAAAGAUUAAGAUAAAAUCUGUGGAAGAGAAGAAUAAGUUCUUGAGUGCCUUUGAAGAAGAUCUACAGAAAGGACUGGGAAAAGAUACUGAAGCACUGGAGAAGAGUCUGCAAAAAAAAGUGAAACCAACGCCACCGGCAGAUAUAGACAAACUUCUUGGGGCUGUUGGAGGAGAAGGAGAGUAAGUACAAAAUGACACUACAAGCUUUAAGUUGGAACAUUAGAGGUCUUAACUCGUCGGCUAAAAGGGGAAGAGUAUUUCAUACAUUGAAAAAAGAACAUUUGGACUUGAUUUGUUUACAAGAGACCCAUGUGACAAGGCUGCAUCGGAAAAUUUUGAUAAAUAAAAGAUUGGGAGAAGAAUUUAUAUCAUCGGACAAUGUUAAAAAAAGAGGAGUAGUAUUUUAUGCAAAGGAAAGCCUGUCACCAAAAUUUAUAUUUAAAGAUGAUCAAGGAAGAUAUAUAGCAAUUGAAAUUCAGUUCCAAGGACAGAAAUUUUUGAUUGUUGGUGUAUAUGCACCAAAUGAGGGAAAAUCAGAAUUCUUCAAAAAAUUGCAUGAAACCCUUUUGGAUUAUUUGGAUUAUAACAUUAUUAUGAUGGGAGAUAUGAAUGGAGUAGUGUCUACAAAUAUGGACAAAGCCCAAAGACAAACGGUGACGAAAGAUGGAAGACUUCCAAAGACUUUUUUUGAAAUGACUGACAAUAUGGAUCUUGUGGAUAUCUGGAGAAUAAAGAACCCCUUGGAAAGAGAAGGAACCUUCUUUUCUGAAGCAAAAAUGACUUGGACAAGAAUAGACCAAAUCUGGAUAACUAGAGGACUGGCCCCUAAGAUAAAAAAAGCGGUGAUUUGCCCGAAAAUUUGCUCUGACCAUAAUCCAGUAAAGAUUGAAAUGAUAUUAAUGCCAAUUGAAGCUUUUAGAUGGAGGAUGAAUGACUCCCUGUUUAGAAAUGAGGAGAUUAUCCAAAAGGCCCAGAAAAACUUGAGAGACUAUUUUGAGAUAAAUAUGAAUACCAUGACUGAAAAGAGAGUGAUUUGGGAUGCCAGCAAAGCGGUGAUGAGAGGAUUUUUGAUACAACAGAAUGCAAUUAGGAAAAGACAUCAAAAUGACAAGAGAGAAAAAAUUCUGGAGAAAAUUAAGGAAGGAGAAAAAAGAUUAAGGGCGAAACCGAACUCACAGGAGAUUUUGAAAGAGAUAAAGUUAUACCAAGUACAAUAUAUGAAAUUGAUGAAUCAGGAGAUAGAAUGGAAGAUCAAACAGAUGAAACAAAAAACCUUCGAAUCGGCUAAUAAAUGUGGGAAAUUACUGGCGUGGCAAAUGAAAAAGAGACAAAAGCUGAAUACAAUUACGAACUUGGUAGUAGAAGGGAAGAAUAUACAGAAUCCUGGAGAGAUUCGGAAGUGCUUUCAGAACUAUUUUAAACAACUAUAUACGCAGGAGACCCAGAAAGAAUAUGAUAUUGAUCGGUUUCUGAAAAUUAAUGGAUUACAAAAAGUAUCUCAAGAGAGUAAAUCAAUAUUAAAUUCUACAAUAUCUGAUCAAGAGGUAGAAGGAGCCAUUCAGAACAUGAAACUGGGCAAAUCUCCAGGACCGGAUGGUCUAACUGCAAAAUACUAUAAAUCUUUGAAAGAAUGGUUAUUACAACCGCUGAAAGAAGUCUGCAAUGAAAUACUACGGGGAGGAAAAGCACCCGAGUCGUGGAAAGAUGCAUAUAUUACACUUAUACCAAAAUCUGAAGUGGAAAAGACACAGUUUAAGAAUUACCGUCCCAUAUCCUUACUUAAUGUGGAUUACAAAAUUUUUGCGGAAAUUAUGGCUAAAAGAUUAAAAAAUGUACUGGUGAAAGUAAUCCAUAAAGACCAGGCGGGCUUUCUCCCGGGGAGACAUCUGUCAGACAAUACGAGGAAUAUUAUUAAUAUUCUAGAAAAAUUGCAAGUUAAUAUUAAUACCAAAGCGGUUUUAAUAUUUGUAGAUGCAGAGAAAGCCUUUGAUAAUAUCUUUUGGAACUUUAUGAAGAAAAAUUUGCAGGGUAUGGGGGUAGGCCAAAGCUUUGAAAAUGGUAUAAGUGCAAUUUAUUCGGAACAAAGAGCUAAGCUCAUUGUGAAUAAUGUGGUUACAGAAGAAAUUAAGAUAGAGAAAGGAACAAGACAGGGUUGCCCAAUCUCCCCUUUACUUUUUAUAUCGGUUCUGGAGGUUUUGCUCAACAUGAUUAGAAAAGACCAAUUGGUUAAAGGCAUACAACUCGGAGCAAAACAGUAUAAACUGAAAGCUUUUGCUGAUGAUUUAGUUUUGACAUUACAGGAGCCAGAAUCCAGUACAAAAAGAGUAUUGCAAUUAAUUCAAGAGUUUGGUCAAGUGGCAGGUUUUAAAUUGAAUAAGACGAAAACUAAGGUACUAGAGAAAAAUCUUACAGAGAUGGAGGAAGAGAGGUUACAGAAGGAGACAGGAUUAACAGUGGUUAACAAAGUGAAAUAUCUAGGGGUACAUAUGACUGCUAAAAAUGUGAAUUUGUUUAAAGACAAUUAUGAAAAAUGUUGGUCAGAAGUAAAGAAGGAUUUAGAAAUAUGGUCAAAACUGAAGUUAUCAUUGUUGGGCCGAAUUGCUGUGAUAAAGAUGAAUGUAUUGCCUAGAAGGCUGUUUUUGUUUCAAACAUUGCAAAUUGUGGAUAAAAUGGACUGCUUCAAGAGGUGGCAAAGAGACAUUUCUAAAUUUAUCUGGCAGGGUAAAAAGCCUAGAAUAAAAUUUAAGAUAUUAACAGAUGCGAAGGAAAGAGGGGGAUUUGCUCUGCCAGAUCUUAAACUUUAUUAUGAAUCAGCGGCAUUUUGCUGGCUGAAAGAUUGGCUACUUCUUGAGAAUGCGGACAUUCUAGAUCUAGAAGGUUUUGACAAUGUGUUUGGAUGGCAUGCAUAUCUAUGGUAUGACAAGGUUAAAGCGCAUAAGGCCUUCAAGAAUCAUAUUGUCAGGAAAGCUCUGUUUAAUGUUUGGGUGAGAUAUAAGGAUUUGCUGGAAAAUAAAACACCAAGGUGGCUGUCACCAAUGGAGGCCAAGGCGUUGAAAAAAACUAAUAUGGAGACAAAUUGGCCAAAGUAUUAUGAAAUUUUAGAACAAGUUGGAGACAAAAUAAAAUUGCAGAGUUUUGACAAAUUAAAAACUAAAGUUCGAGACUGGCUUCACUAUUUCCAAAUAAGGGAGGCUUUUAAUCUAGAUAAAAAGAAUGGUUUCCAGGUGGAAAAAUCUAAACUGGAAACGGAAUUGCUAGAACCUAAAACUAAGAAUUUGUCAAGAAUGUAUAAUCUGCUGUUGAAAUGGAAUACACAGGAUGAAAUGGUUAAAUCAGCUAUGAUUAAAUGGGCACAAGAUGUUGGGUAUAAUAUUAUGUUUGCUGACUGGGAAAGGUUAUGGACCACAGGUAUGAAAUUUACAGCUUGUAAUGCCUUAAGAGAAAAUAUAAUGAAAAUGAUUUACAGGUGGUACUUAACCCCAGUCAAGCUAGCAAAAAUUUAUCAUCUGCCUGAUAAUAAAUGUUGGAAAUGUAAAGAAAAUGAAGGUACUUUUUUUCACCUUUGGUGGACGUGCCCAAAGAUUAAGGCCUUCUGGGAAAUGAUUUAUAAUGAAUUAAAAAAGGUAUUGAAAUAUACUUUCUUGAAGAAACCAGAGGCCUUUCUCUUAGGCAUGGUCGGCCAAUUGGUGCGAAGGGAAGAUAGGAAUUUUUUUAUGUAUGCGACAGCAGCAGCAAGAAUACUCAUUGGGAAAUACUGGAAGACGCAAGAAUUGCCUACUCGAGAAGAAUGGCAGAUGAAAGUGAUGGACUACAUGGAACUGGCUGAGAUGACCGGCAGAAUCCGAGACCAGGAAGAAGGGUCGAUGGAAGAAGACUGGAAAAAAUUUAAAAUAUAUCUUCAAAAAUUUUGCAAUAUAAAAGAAUGUUAGAAAGAGGUUGGAAGGAAUUUUAGGUCGUUUUAGCAGAUAAAGAUAUAAUGGGACAUUGGACAAAGUAAAAACAAAGUGUAGAAAUUGAAGAUAGAGGAGGAUUAAAUUUAUUAAGAAAUCUUAAAAUAAGUAAAGGAAAAGAAGGUUAGAAGGAUUUGCUGGAAAUACGAUCCAAACUAGAACAUAAAGUGGGGAGGUGAGAGGAAGUCACGGAAAUAAGUAAAAGGGAAAAAGGUUAUAAAGGUCUAAAUUUGAUUUUUGUUACAUUUUAUGGUAUUGUAUUUUUCUGUUUUCUGUAAUAUGUUUUAUUUUAUUUUCUUAGAUGUGUUUUUGUCUUUUUUUUUCCUUUCAUCUAUUUGUUCUGUUUUUUAUCUUUUGCUGUAAUUUUAAAACUGGAAUAAAUAUUCUUUAAAAAAAAAUAUAUAAUAGGUGGUUCCUCCAGCUGCAGAGCUCCGAAUACCACCAAUAAACUCCAGGCCUUUCCCUGGAGGCUGUCGGUUCCAGACCCAGUAAUAAUCACUGACUUGGAAACCAGAGAUAGUGCAGGUCAGUUUGAAGGACUCUCCUGGCUUCACCACUCCUGGGCCAGACUCGAUUAACUGUGGACUGGAAAGGAUGCC